rnacentral:rRNA from 1 species
AGACGAAGGUGGCAACCGUUGUUCGGAAUUACUGGGCAUAAAGCGCACGUAGGCGGGAGACCAAGUCGGGUGUGAAAUCCCUCGGCCUAACCGAGGAACUGCGCCCGAAACUGGUUUUCUUGAGGACAGGAGGGGAGCGUGGAAUUCCUGGUGGAGCGGUGAAAUGCGUUGAUAUCAGGAGGAACAUCAGUGGCGAAGGCGACUUGCUGGACUAAUACUGACGCUGAGGAGCGAAAGCGUGGGGAGCAAACGGGAUUAGAAACCCGAGUAGUCC